AACUUCAUCUUCAUACACCUCUGCUGCAAUCUCCUCUCUCCCAGGUUUGGAUACAUAAAGGAACUGUGGAACACAUAGGAGAGAAGCACAUGUAAAGAAGCUACAAUAAUAAAGAGGAAACCCCAACAAUCAGACGAACUCCUAUGAGUAAACACUUGGCAACAGCGGUGAGUUCCACCAACAUUUUAUGAUAUCUAAGUAAAUGUAGCAUGUUAGCUUAAUACAUAUUAGCAUUUAGCAUACAUUAGCAUACUGGCUGGCUUUCAAGCAGAACUAGACCAUGCUGAGUUAGCGGUUAUCGUUAGCAUUAUAUAACGAGGUCUUAUAUUUAACAUAAAGUCGAGUUACAUGCUUAAAGUAGUUAAAGAUAAAGCUAACAAGUUUGAGAAUACUGUGAGAUAUCAUUUUGCCUCAUAACUUUUGCACUGUCCACUUCCUGCUGUGACAAAACAAAUUUCCCACGUGUGGGACUAAUAAAGGUUAUCUUAUCUUAUCUUAGAUUUUUACAGCAUGUCAUCCAAUCAGAAAAUAAGUGGUUUGAGUCCCAGCUACUCUGAAUGUUGAAAUAUCCAUGGGCAAGAUACAGAACACAGGGUUAUCCCUGAUGCAUCCAUUCUACUCUGGCACUAUGGACAUAAAAAUGUGGAAUACCUUGGGAACAAAGAGCAGGGCGAGUGUCACAGUGAUGGUGACAUGGGUGUGUGUGAAGGAG